rnacentral:tRNA from 1 species
GCCCCCAUCGUCUAGUGGCCCAGGACGCCAGCUUCUCACGCUGGCAACAGGGGUUCGAUUCCCCUUGGGGGUA